ensembl:rRNA 5S_rRNA 5S ribosomal RNA
GCUACUGGCUUUGCUGAACUAACUGCAUUUCACCUCAUCCCUUCUGAGAAAAUAAGCAGUUCCAGGCCUGGCUAAGCUGUGGUGGGAAGUCAUCUGGGAAUUCAGGAAGCUAACGGCA